rnacentral:misc_RNA from 1 species
GAAAUGCGAUACGUAGUGCGAAUUGCAGAACUCCGUGAAUCAUCAAAUCUUUGAACGCAACUUGCGCUUCCAUUUACGUGGGAGCAUGCUUGUUUCAGUGUCCGUCUCAACCUCUCCCCGCCACUCGUGGGCGCGCUGGAGGGCAUGGGUGCGUCUGGGCUCCUGCCCAGUCACCUGAAGUACAGUGGCACGCUAGUGAAUACCAGCGUACUCUCACACACCACGCAGUUGCAUUUUCAACUGCCCUGCACUAUUGCAGGCCUGGGUAAGAAGGAGGUUAACCCCUCUUUUCCACGCACAGGCAGGCAGCAGCAGGCGCGGGCAGCAGCGUGGCCGAGAGGCCUGGGAUUCCUGUAGAGCGUAGCGCCGAGACCCCCCAACCUUUUUCAUCGGACCUGAAAUAAGUAAGAGGACCCGCCGAAUUUAA